rnacentral:rRNA from 1 species
UACGUAGGGUGCGAGCGUUAAUCGGAAUUACUGGGCGUAAAGCGUGCGCAGGCGGUUUUGUAAGCCAGAUGUGAAAUCCCCGGGCUCAACCUGGGAAUGGCAUUUGGGACUGCAGGGCUGGAGUACGGCAGAGGAGACUGGAAUUCCUGGUGUAGCAGUGAAAUGCGUAGAGAUCAGGAGGAAUACCGAUGGCGAAGGCAGGUCUCUGGGCUGAUACUGACGCUCAUGCACGAAAGCGUGGGGAGCAAACAGG